rnacentral:lncRNA from 1 species
CUGCUUUAGAUUUUUCAAGAUCUCCAUUCACUAUUGCACGCCGGACAGAUUCACGACGAACCAUUUAGUAACAUUCUUCUAAUUCUAGAACAGGAUCCUUCCUCAAAAUUUCCCCACGAAUAUGUUCAAACUCACCAUCCAAACCAGCAAGAAAGAUGUGCACCCUUUGUCGUUGAAUAGACUUGCGGUAAGAACUGACAUCCUUCUCAUUUUCCAUGAUCACCUUAUCACGGUGAUCCAACUCACAAAAAAUUUCAACCAGUUCUCCAUAGUAGGAAGAGAGAGAUCUGUCAUUUUGUUUGGCAAAAUAAGCUUUUUGAUUCAAAGUGAAGACUUGUAGUUCAUCUGCUCCAUCAUAGAAGGCUGUUGACAGAGC